rnacentral:rRNA from 1 species
GUAGGUGGCAAGCGUUGUCCGGGAAUUAUUGGGGCGUAAAGCGCGCGCAGGCGGUCCUUUAAGGUCUGAUGUGAAAGCCCACGGGCUCAACCGUGGAGGGUCAUUGGAAACUGGGGGACUUGAGUACAGAAGAGGAAAGCGGAAUUCCACGUGUAGCGGUGAAAUGCGUAGAGAUGUGGAGGAACACCAGUGGCGAAGGCGGCUUUCUGGUCUGUAACUGACGCUGAGGCGCGAAAGCGUGGGGAGCAAACAGGAUUAGAUACCCUGGCAGUCCACGCCGUAAACGAUGAGUGCUAAGUGUUAGGGGGUUUCCGCCCCUUAGUGCUGCAGCUAACGCAUUAAGCACUCCGCCUGGGGAGUACGGCCGCAAAGGCUG